UACAGAGGGUGCGAGCGUUGUCCGGAAUCACUGGGCGUAAAGGGUGCGUAGGUGGCCUGACAAGUUAUCAGUGGCAAAAUCGAGGCUCAACCUCGUGGAAACUGGUAAUACUGUUCGGCUUGAGUACAGGAGAGGUUAACGGAACUCUAUGUGGAGCGGUAAAAAUGCACAGAUAUAUAGAAGAACAUCAAAUAAAGGCGAAAGGCAGUU
rnacentral:rRNA from 1 species